CUAACAAACAAACCCACAAGAAAAUGGUGAGAUUGGGAGUUCAAAACUUGGUUUCUGUUUAAGGACUCCAGAUUGUGCAGAAGACUUCAACCGAAGCCAUUUUUCUCAAAUAUUUCUAGAAGUUACAGACUGAGCAG